ensembl:lncRNA
GUUCCGGUUCCGGGGACGGAGCGAAUAAAAAAUGGUUUUCUGUGCUACCGUCGGAUGUGCUGAAACACAAGGUGGAUGAUCUUUCAGUAAGGAGGACAACAUCUCAGGAGACUGAAUGAAGUGCCAAGAAAGCAACCAGGAGACCACGGGACAGUCGAGGGUUUGGCAAGACAAACAAGCCUCCGCCUGAGCUGAGGCCUUUAUUACUUAUUGUUAAUAGCUUGGGUGGUCGUGUUUUUAUCUUUUUAAUGUAGAAGAUAUGUUCUAGCAUGAGGAAAACCUAUAACAUCUACGAAAAAUGAUCGCUGAGAAGAUUACUCAGCCGGUUGAUAACACCCCC